rnacentral:tRNA from 1 species
CGCGGGAUGGAGCAGUUGGCAGCUCGUCGGGCUCAUAACCCGAAGGUCGUAGGUUCGAGUCCUGCUCCCGCAACCA